CAAAGCGAAGCUACUAAUAGCACCUCAAGCAGAGGACAAAUCUACUUAACUAGAUCACUUUUA
rnacentral:tRNA from 1 species